rnacentral:rRNA from 1 species
AUUGAACGCUGGCGGCAGGCCUAACACAUGCAAGUCGAGCGGAUGAUGGGAGCUUGCUCCUUGAUUCAGCGGCGGACGGGUGAGUAAUGCCUAGGAAUCUGCCUGGUAGUGGGGGACAACGUUUCGAAAGGAACGCUAAUACCGCAUACGUCCUACGGGAGAAAGCAGGGGACCUUCGGGCCUUGCGCUAUCAGAUGAGCCUAGGUCGGAUUAGCUUGUUGGUGAGGUAAUGGCUAACCAAGGCGACGAUCCGUAACUGGUCUGGGAGGAUGAUCAGUCACACUGGAACUGAGACACGGUCCAGACUCCUACGGGAGGCAGCAGUGGGGAAUAUUGGACAAUGGGCGAAGGCCUGAUCCAGCCAUGCCGCGUGUGUGAAGAAGGUCUUCGGAUUGUAAAGCACUUUAAGUUGGGAGGAAGGGUUGUAGAUUAAUACUCUGCAAUUUUGACGUUACCGACAGAAUAAGCACCGGCUAACUCUGUGCCAGCCGCCGCGGUAAAAC